GUGUGUGUGCAGUGGCAGUAUCAUAACCAAUGAAGUUAAUCUGAGGUAUGAUUAUUGCUAGUUGAAAAUUCUUUUUCCAUUAUAAAAGAAAUGGUUGUAACUCUUCUGUCUGGGGUAAAACAUUAAAAUUUGUCAGAGA